rnacentral:rRNA from 1 species
AGCAGCCGCGGUAAUUCCAGCUCCAAUAGCGUAUAUUAAAGUUGUUGCAGUUAAAAAGCUCGUAGUUGAAUUUCGGGAUCAAUCUGUUGGUCGUGCCUUUGGUACGUACUAGCUUAUUGAUUUCUCCCUUCUGACGAACCAUGAUGUCAUUAAUUUGGUGUCAUGGGAAAUCAGGACUGUUACUUUGAGAAAAUUAGAGUGUUUAAAGCAGGCUCACGCUUGAAUACAUUAGCAUGGAAUAAUGAAAUAGGACGUUUUGAUUCUAUUUUGUUGGUUUCUAGGAUCGACGUAAUGAUUAAUAGGGAUAGUUGGGGGCAUUAGUAUUCAAUUGUCAGAGGUGAAAUUCUUGGAUUUAUUGAAGACUAACUACUGCGAAAGCAUUUGCCAAGGAUGUUUUCAUUAAUCAAGAACGAAAGUUAGGGGAUCGAAGACGAUCAGAUACCGUCGUAG